rnacentral:rRNA from 1 species
GGACAACCUGCCCAAAGGUCCGGGAUAACCCCGGGAAACUGGGGAUAAUACCGGAUAAAUCACAAAUACUGGAAUGGUUUUGUGGUUGAAACUUCCGGGGCCUUUGGAUGGGUCUGCGGCUGAUUAGGUUGUUGCCGGUGUAACGUACCGUCAAGCCUGUAAUCAGUACGGGUUGUGGGAGCAAGAGCCCGGAGAUGGAUUCUGAGACACGAAUCCAGGCCCUACGGGGCGCAGCAGGCGCGAAAACUCUACAAUGCAGGCAACUGCGAUAGGGGAACAUCGAGUGAUACUCAUCUUGGGUGUCUGUCCUCCCGUCUAAAAAACGGGAGUUAGCAAGGGCCGGGCAAGACCGGUGCCAGCCGCCGCGGUAAUACCGGCGGCUCGAGUGGUGGCCGAUAUUAUUGAGUCUAAAGGGUCCGUAGCCGGCUUUGCAAGUCUUUUGGGAAAUCCAGCGGCUUAACCGUUGGUCGUCCGGGAGAUACUACAUUGCUUGGGACUGGGAGAGGUAGGAGGUACUCAGGGGGUAGGAGUGAAAUCCUGUAAUCCUUUGGGGACCACCGGUGGCGAAGGCGUCCUACCAGAACAGGUCCGACGGUGAGGGACGAAAGCUAGGGGCACGAACCGGAUUAGAUACCCGGGUAGUCCUAGCCGUAAACGAUGCUCGCUAGGUGUCACAACAAUCGUGAAUUGUUGUGGUGCCGUAGGAAAGCCGUGAAGCGAGCCACUUGGGAAGUACGACCGCAAGGUUGAAACUUAAA